GCCUGGUUUCCAUGUGAGGACACCUAGAAAGCAACAUCUACGAGGAAUGAGCUCUAACCAGACACCAAAUCUGCUGGGAGCUUUAUCUUGAACUUCCCAGCUCCACAACGUCUUGGCAGCUCUUUGGGGGAUGGAAGAAGACCAUGAAGCUCUAAGUGCUUCAGAGGAAUGGGGUUGCCAAAACAGAUGUGAGAGGCCCAGAGAGGAGGCUGGGCCAAUGCUGAAGGGUAUUAUUUUGGGGCUGAGUGCAGAAAUAAGAGAUGCGUGCUAAAAGGUCAUCGGUUUAGAACCAGCCCUAGAUCUCCUGGGAUCCUGCCCAGCUGAAUCUUCCUCCUUGUAACAUGGGCUUUGGGAAUUUGUGAGAGAUUUAAAUAAGGAUUUACUAAAGCAAUGUCUUCAAAGAGGUGUUUAAGAAGGAGAGGUUGGUCGGAACCAGAAAAUGCAUUCCUGGGAUGAUCUUUGGGAUACACCCAACUGACCCUCUGAAAAGGCACAACAUUUGUCAACUCAACACUCUUCAGACUUUAUCAAUAACAAAAAGUUGCUAAUGCUUGAUGAGAUGAUGAGUGAGAAGGUGGGAGGCAGAAGCAGCCAACAGAGAAGACAAAGGAUCUAAGAAAAUGAGAGAGAAAGAAAGGAGAAAAAUAUGUAGAAAUUUCAAGUUGAUGAUAACAUUCUAAGACCAGAUGAACACUUACUUUAUUUUCUGGAAAAGAAUCAUUGACCUCAUGAAACACAUUGUGAAUGUGUUUUUUUCUUCCUGACUCAACCUAUGAACAGGACAUUGAAUUCAAGAUUGACUACAAAGUUAAUAAUUACAUAAAAUUAUAUAAAAUAAAAGUACGAAGGCAAUAAUAAUAUAAGUAAAUAUAAGAUAACUAUGUAUAACUAUAUGUACAACUAUAUAUACAUAGUUUGUAACUAUGUCUACAAGCUGAGAACAGUCUGGUAGUAAAGAUGUGCCAAUAUAAGAAAGUUCUAUUUGAUGUUGACCAUGACAAGGCACACUUCAUCCCGAAGGCAUUUUUGACGGUAAAUCUAAACAGCCUGUUUUCUUUUUCAAAGAGUUUACUGGUGAGCAGCCAGACAUUUGAAAAUAGUUUCUGUUUUUCCACAGCUUGAAGAUCGAAUCAGAAAAAGUAGUACAAUCAUUUUGAAAAUAAAUAUUUUUAAAACAAA
rnacentral:lncRNA from 10 species